CCUUUGUCCACCAGUGUAAAAUAUGUGCGAGGCAACGAAAAAAAGCUUAGUUCAACUGAGAGCUAUCCCUGCUGAAACAUCUACAUUUGCUGAAGAGUAUUUCCAGCCCAAAACACGAAAAAAUGGGUCGUUUUUGACUGGAUGUUUUUUAAUUCGAAUGAGAUUUUGAUCAUGCGUUGGAUUUCGUGAAUUAUUUAAGAUCCCAGUACAUAGGGUCACAUAUUUGAAAAUUCGAUCGAAUCAAUUAAGAUGUUUGAGCAUUGGUCGACAAAUAUUUUACGUAUACUGGGAUAUUUAAACUAACAUUUCACUGUUGGACCCGUUUGACCAAUGCCAAAUAUUUAACCAAUUUUGACAGUUAAAUUUUGAUCAAGCUGUACUCAGAACUGCCAUAAUAUUUGUAUUUCGUACAUGAAAAAGUAGGCGAGCAUCCUCUCGUUUAUUUUAUUAUCUCAAACUACACUGACCCCACAUGUAUGAAUCAUCUAAGGGUUUUUGCAACAUAAAAAAAUGAAUAACAGUCCCAUUAGACAUGACAAAUAUUUUGCCAACAAGCCCAACAAAUGACCAACACAACGUGAAUCAUAGCAACCUUGGAUGAAUGUUGGGUUUGAAUGGCAAAUAUUUGUCAUAACGACAAACAGUCUAAUGGCCCCUUAAGUGAGAAAAUAAACCAUAGGGGAGACUGGGGAGACUUGAUCCCUUUUUCUUAAAUUGCCUGUAACUUCAAGAAAAAUACAAAACUUGAUCCGUUUUUCGUACAAAAUGGAAGAUACACAUCUAUUGCAAGUUUAUACACAACAGAAGGACUUUAAAUUAUUGCUAAAUUGUUCAAAACUGUGUUUUUAUGGAGGCUUGUCUUUUGAUGUAUUUUUCAUAAAUGGGCCACAAUUGAUCCCCUUUUGAGCACAUGUUUAAUUUAAAGGGUAAAUAACUCCAGAAGCUUCCUAUUCAUUAUCAUUUCAAGUUUUCUUGUAUUUUUGAUGAAUACGGUGAAUUUGAAAUUAUAAGAUUUCCUUAAAUUGUUCAGGUUAUGCUUUAUUUUAAAAAUGGGGAGACUUGAUCCCUCUGUUUAUGGUGUGUAGUAAAAUAAUAAUUAUCUGACACCUUUUAUCUUUGAAUAUACUAGAUUUCUGAGUAAAUAGAGGCUUCCAAAUAGAAUUUUAUUUUUCACAUGUAUAAUGUGUGUGUAAUCCUCGAGGGAUCAAGUCUCCCCAUGUCACUGUUGUAUAUAUCAAGUUGCAUUAAUUAAAAUAUUUAUAUAACAGCCUUAUUUGAGUAAAUACGUUUCAUAGUAUUUUAUUUACACUAUGUGCUGUCAAAUUUUCACACGAUUUGGUUCAAUUUUUACAAAAUUAUUGAGAUUUUUCAGAAUCGCCUAAAAGAUUCCUAAGGACUGAAAACAAACCAUAAGCCAUUAAAAAAUAAUGCAAUGCACAAUCAAAAUCAAUUGUAACUGAAACAUUCCCGCAUAGUGAAAUACAAUUUGUAUUACAGUACACACAGUAUGUCUCCUUUAUCUGUUACUGUUACGGUACCACGAACAGGUGCUUUUCUGUUGUAACUAUGAAUCUCGAAACAUUCAAUUGUAAAGAACGGUUUAUGUAGCCCAUUCCAAGUUGUAACAACAUAUCAUAUUGUACAGAAAUGGUAUUAAAAUACACAGAAAUAAAAACCAAAAAAAAAAAACAAAAAAUACAGAAAUGGUCAAAUAGUAUGUGGAUGAAAACUCGGGAGAUAUGGUGGCAAUACAGAAUGACCGUUUCUCAAACGGUUUGUGAUUUUAUUUGCGCAACACACUUACACAUGUGCAUUUCACUGCAUGCUGAAAUUCAACAGUUUGUCAAACAAUAGCUUUCAUUGGUAUCUGUACCGCGAUCGAACUUUGCAGUUUGCAAUUAGAAAAAAAAAAUCACAACCUUUCGCCCGCAAGUUUGGUAAACAAUCAAGUGAAAAUUAAUUGCCUCAAUAAACAGUUCGACGCGCUUGGAACGAUUUGGAUGAAACAAGGAAUUUUGAAGCCAACUAAAGGAACCUGAUCCAGCCUGACCGUACGACUGCGAGGGGUUCCCCAAACGGAGUUGGAAGAAUUUGUCCUACUGUGGACGGAUAUUCAGGGUUCCCUGCGGUUAGAAAUUAGCCCCCACCGGAGAAAGGUCUACAAUUAGUUUUAAUCAUCACAGGUGCUACCGAGCCCAGAAUAGGGCGUUGAAAUUGUGAAUAAAAAAAAUCCGAUGAACGACUAACCGUUUUCUUAUUUUAAACGGUUCAAAUAUAGCAGAACCAUAUAUCAUAAGCUUAAAAUAUUAUGGAAAACCAUAUAUUUAUAAUACCCCAUAAAGUGCACGGUUUUCCUCCAGAUGCAUUGUUUUACUGUUCUCUAACCAUUUGCCAUGCAGUGAAUUGUCUGAAAAUCUGGAUAAUAAAUUGACCAUAUCCUUUACUGUUUUGCGAAAAAUUUGUUCGAGAAAACGAGCGAUUUUUUAUGGUAACCUAUCUUAACCGCCUAUUGCACAUAUUGUUAUUUGGCGGAUUACCAUUUGUCAAACUGGCAAAUCUGUACGUGGCAUAGUUAGUUUACUGUUAUCUCAGACAGUUUGAAAAACGGUUAAUUGACAAUUAUUUAUAGUAAUCUACAGAAUGAGAAACGUUAAAUUUACAGUUCGUGAUUAUGCGGGAUUGUCGUCUGUUAAGAUGUAGUUUUGGAAAAAAAUAUGCUAGAAGAAAACAGUUUUUGAUUCCGAGAAAAUAUGGGGGAACAAGUCUCCCCAGGGAUCAAGUCUCCUCAGUCUCCCCUAUAUUUGAAUAAGGUCAAAAUCAAACAGUAAGGUUGUGUAUAUACAGGGGAUGGCCAGAAUGUUUGGGAUAGGCAACUUUUUUUCUCGUACAAAAAAAUUCAACAUGCUGUAACUUUUCAUAGAGUGCAUCAAAAAAUCUCAAAUUUUGACUGAUUGUCAACCUAUUAUAUGUGCAUUUUUGGUACAAAUUUGGGCUCGAUUGAUUAAUUUUUCGCGAAGUUAGAACCGUUCGGGUAAAACACUAUUAUUUAGACAACUCAUUUUUGAACUGUCAUAUCUCGGAAACCAGUGAACCGAAUUGAAUGAUUUUUUUAACGUUUAUUCACAAUGUAUUGAUACUUAAUACGACGUUAAAAAAUGUAAUAUUUUCUAACGGCGCAUUAAGUUACACCGGAUUGAAACUUUUACCCAUAUAGAGGAAAAUAAGUCAAAUUUACAAUAUCACACAAAAAUUAAUAAAUGUGUUCUUCCUUCAAUCUAAAUAGGCUCUAAUAUAUCUGAUUAGAGAUAACUUGAGAACAGAAGUGGAAAAUCUUUGAAUAUCAACACUAAACUUUAUUGACAUUGAUGUAAAAAAAUUACAUUUUUUCAAGAAAAAUCCAAAAAGUGUCAAUCCAUGAUAACUUUUUUCAACGUUUAAAAAGUACCUAUGUUUUAAUAGUUUGUGAAGCAUUUACCGUCAAGUCGCCAUUCACCGUGGGGGCUCCAUUCACUGUGUGCCUUCGAAUAUUUUUUCAUUAAUUCCAUGUUAUGAUUGAAUGAUACGACAAUUUCACCAAUACAACACUAAUGUAUUGUUACCAUGCCAAAACGCUCAUUAGAAACAUUUAAAAGUAUCAUUUUGACACUAAAGUGUGUUUACAUGAAGCGGGAUAAACUAAAUGUAGUAACGUUUUUAUUCCACCAAGAAGCAAUUAAAUUCACAUAUCAGGUAUGUAUUUUGCAUUACCGACGUAAGUUUAACAAGAAAGUACGAUUACUCGUACUUUUUAAUUGAAACAAAAAGGCACGGUAAAUGGGUACCCUAAAAAUCAAUGGUCUCCAUUCACCGUGCCACAUAUUGUCCCAUAUAUCUAGAAAAAAUCGAAAAUUUAAACAUUCGUUUUUCUAAUAAAAUCUUGCAAGUUAUUACUUGAAAUGAAUUUAAAUGAAGAAAAUUCCCUUGGCUGGGUUGUUUUGAUCAUUUUUAAACAAAGUAGAAUAAAAUUUCUCAUACACGGUGAAUGGGUCCCUACUACCACGGUGAAUGGUGACCUACCACGGAAUUAGGCGACCCUACUACCCUUUACUAAUUGUACUAUAUCACCAAAUUUUGUGAAAAAUUUUCUACUUCUGUGGAUAUUGCUUUAAUUUUAACCUAUAAUGAAGGCAAUUAAAAGCAGCACCAACAAUGUUUAUAAGACUGGUGUCAAAUGACAGCCCUUAUUUGCCCCGAAUCCUCUUAGAUCCACGGUGAAUGGUGCCUUGACGGUACAUAUUGUUAGUGUACGUUCAAAAUUUCAUUCAAUUCGGUUCCCUGGUUUCCAAGAUAUGACAGCUCAAAAAUGAGUUGUCUGAAAAAUAGUGUUUUACUCGAACGGUUCUAACUUUUCGAAAUAUUAAUCAAUCGAGUCCAAAUUUGUACCAAUGAUGCACACAUAAUAGGUUGACAAGCAGUCAAAAUUUGAGAUUUUUUGAUGCGCUCUAUGAAAAGUUAUAGCUUGUUGAACUUUUUUGUGAGAGAAAAAAAAAGUUGCCUAUUCCAAACAUUUUGGCCAUCCCCUGUACUUCUAAUGAAUUAACUACAUCGGCUGUUUUCCUACUCUCCGCAUCGACCAAUGUGGCGCUAGCUUCUAUGCGCGAAAAAUCGCUAAAAGUAAAUCGCAAAAAUAUUGUAUGGCGAAUACAAUCUAAAAGCAAAUUUCUCGAAGUGGAACACAUUAUUCGAAAAAAUAUUUGGUAGUGGUUGUGCACAAUGGUGACAACUAUUAAGGCUACCAAAUAUUUUUUCGGGAAAAGCAUUCCAUUUCAAGUAAUUCGAGUUUAGAUGCAUUUCGCCAUACCAAAUUAAAUUGAUUUACUCCUGCUGAUCAACUGUGGCUGCGCGCAAAGCGGGUAGUCCAUUCACGAACACUUUGCUCGUUAAAUAUAAUAAAAAAUGUGAAAAUUUUGACUUUCUAGAAGAAUUUCGGAAAUCACAAUUUAUGAAUCAGCAGAAUACUUCCCCACAAAUAUGAAUCAGUUGAGAUCAUUCUUGUUAGCGAUCACAGUCUUUGACACCAUUUUGUCGAUAUUCGGCUGCCUUUGUCUCCAACAUUCGCAACACAAGCAAUCAAACUACUGUACGGAACAAAAAUGUCGAAUGAAUGCGCUUGACCACGAUUGCGUCUUCGGGAGAUGGUUCGGUUUUUGUUAUUCCUGUCUUUCCCAUAAAGAGAGCUGUUUUGGAUAAAUGUAUGUAUCGUAAUCGAUUUAUCACACACGAAUAAACUAAUAUUAUGCCAAUCUUAAUCAAAAUUGGCUGAAAUCUUGCGAAAAGCUGGAAUUAGACUAAUGUCAUCGUGUCAGACGCAGAGUUUCCGAUUGCUCAUGUGUACAUAAAUGUGACAGCGAGCCUCCCACCAAAUUGUCUCACAGCUCUUAAAAAUCGCAGUGUGCUGCGCUGCUAGGAGGCUCACGAAAAUCUGGUGGGUGCGAGCUAGGCACAUAGCUCCCGGGGAGCUCGUCUCAUGCGCAGCGUGAGCUAUUGGUAUCUAAGGUGAAAAACAACUUCUUGGUAACGAAGAACAUCAACAACUUUUUUCCGUACACAACUCAAGUGCCUGAUUGGUCUAUGCGAUACGACUAGGGACUCUCAAUGCAAAGGUUAAGGUUUCAAUUCUUGCUCGUUUAGGAAGUUUUUGUCGCGAAAUUUUCUAAUUUAAUCAGCGCAUGAGACGAAGCUCAUGAGACACAUCUUGAGAAAAAUGAAGCGCACAACUUUCAGUCUCAAUAUGUGCAGUGCUCCUGGGAGCUCGCUCGCCAUGUGGCUCCCGUACAUGGGACUACAGCACGUGUACAUCAACUCUGGUCAGACGACGUUGAUUUGAUCGACUUUUUUGUUUAUUGAUCUUUGUUCUGCCGAUUGUGUUGUGUGUAAGAGGUAGCCCCAGACAAACAGACGUAACACCUUGAACGAUUUUCAUGGAAAUCCAUCGCCCAGUUCACACUGCCAUCACCUGGUGGAAAAGUUGCACGAAGCACUGUGAGUUUUUUAAAAAGAUGGUAUGACGGGUUGGGACAAACAUAAAAAUUAGAGGGGUGUUAUUUUUAUAACUCAAGUGAAAAACACUUGAAAAGUGCCUAUUUUUUCUAGAAAAUCAUCAAUAUUGUUCGAACGGAAUGACGUAGCAACAUUCUCAGCGCACGAAAAUGUGCGUUUUUUAAAGCUCUAAAAAUGGUUCUUAGACAACUUUGAUGAGAAAUUUGAAACAAAAAAGAUAAAGCGUUUAAACUGUUUUGACCAAAUUUGGAGCAUUUUCCCAUAGUUUUCAAAGGGUGACGCUAGAAGAAAUCGUUUUAUUGCUUGAUCACCUGUUAUAGCCGUUCCCGAGUUCUUUAGUUCCAUGACCAUUGGUUGAUAUCUUUCAGGCAAUCCGGCCAGUAGAAAAACCCCGAUGAACCGCUCCGGAAUCGGGAAUCCAAUCUCAGGGCUGUUACAAAAGUGUCGAUUUGGAAACCGCAAAAUCCGUGCCAAGUCAUUUGAAAUCCGCGCCGAGGUCAUCAAAUCCGCGCCAAUACAAAAAUAUAUGUUUUCGAUGACUCAAACUCAUAAAAGGCCUGCAUUUUUCAAUUAUUUAUGGUUUUUGUUGCACUCCAGAUGAAGAUGAUUUCUAAUGUUAAAACCGAUUUUAAAUAUUAUUAAUCCAUGACCUUAAAUGCAACUUCAACAUCAACCAAGAGUUUAAAAAUGUUGCAAACAGGUUAGUUUUUUAAAUUGGAAUAAAAAGUUUUGAAUAAAUAGUUCUUUGAUUGCUGGUCAAUCAGGGUGACUACUUUUUUACGAGAAUUGAAUUUCCUGUUCCCUGAAACAGUUCCAAAGACGAGCAUUCUUGACGAAUCUGUGCAAAUAAUCAAAACCAACAUUAUGGAAAAAAACCUGCAAUAAAAUCUGUAGUAAGUCCCAAAAGAUCGUUCGAGAGAACUGCAAGAAAAUUUCCGGAUUUUUUGUGUAGAUACAAAUUGAGUAAUUGAUUCUAAGAUAACCAAUACCAUUAGGAAUAAUAUUUAAGGGAGAUAUUUAGCUGGAUAAUGGACUACCCGCUUGGCGCACACCUACAGUUGAUCAGCAGGAGUAAAUCCAUUUUAUUUUGUAUGGUGAAAAGCAUCUAAACUUGAAUUACUUGAAAUGGAGAGCUUUUACUGAAAAAAUAUUUGGUAGGCUUAAUAGUAGUCACCAUUGUGCACAACCACUACCAAAUAUUUUUUCGAAUAAUUCCACUUCGAUAAAUUUGCCUUCAGAUGCUAUUCGCCAUACAAUAUUUUUGCGAUUUACUUUUAGCGAUUUUUCGCGCAUAGAAGCUAGCGCCACAUUGGUCGAUGCGGAGAGUAGGAAAACAGCCGAUGUAGUUAAUUCAUUGAAGGGCUUUCUUUGCCUGCCAUUGCAUGAAUUUGUAUAUUGUGAGGCAAGCACAAUGAUACACUUGUAGUGCAUAAAUUAGUUGAGUUGCAUAUUGCCAACAGAUGUGGCACAGCAACAAUAAUUCCCAUCGUCAAGGUCUUGCAACGUGGGCAAGAACACCCAAGUGCAAUAGCCCAUGUUGCAACCGCCAACGAUGCUCUUUCCCCAAGCUCAAUAUUCCCAGGCUAAAUGAUUCUCGAAUUUCACUUAUCGACGGGUUGUCAACUGCAAUAUAAUUUUAACGCAUAUCGAUGUUACCUAGUAAUCCUACAUUCUUCAUUACACCAACGAACCUAACCUCAAAAUGACUGACAAAUCUCAGGUCAUUUUGACAGAUGUAACAUGAGCAUGAAAAGGACGGCAACAAGAUCGAUAAAGUAGAAUAUGUUAUCCGUCUUUUUCGUGCAUAUGUGUGGUCUGUCAAAAUGACCUGUGAAUGAAUUAACUACAUCGGCUGUUUUCCUACUCUCCGCAUCGACCAAUGUGGCGCUAGCUUCUAUGCGCGAAAAAGCGCUAAAAGUAAAUCGCAAAAAUAUAGUAUGGCGAAUAGCAUCUAAAGGCAAAUUUAUCGAAGUGGAAUACAUUAUUCGAAAAAAUAUUUGGUAGUGGUUGUGCAAAAUGAUGACCACUAUUAAGCCUACCAAAUAUUUUUUCGGGAAAAGCUUUGUAUUUCAAGUAGUUCAAGUUUAGAUGCAUUUCGCCAUACAAAAUUAAAUUGAUUUACUCCUGCUGAUCAACUGUGGCUGCGCGCAAAGCGGGUAGUCCAUUGUCAAACAUUUUCAUGGCUAGCUUUGUUGGUGUAAUGAAGAAUUAUAGAGAUCUGCGGAGGCGGCCAUUGUGAGCCAAUCAUGCAGAGAGAACUGUCAAAGUGUGAGCCAAAUGAACAUGCUUAUCGUUCGUAGGAAGGCGUCAUUUGAACGGUAUUGCAAUAAUCGGAACUACAUAAAUUAAAAUUAUUUAUUUUUAAUAUCGAGAUAUUGGCGGCAAUGUAUGUUUAAUAAAAAGAUAAAAAUUUAUUAAUUCUGCUUUCAAAAGCUCAUGCUUAUGACGACACUUUUGUUGCUGCACUUGUCGAAAAAAACUUCCAUUGCGCUUCUUGCUUCACUUCUGCCGAAAUAAUUAGCGCAUCACUUUUGCAUUGAAUUUCAGAUUUCUUAGAUUUCUCCGCUAUUUCAACAAAAUUUUGAAAAAAAAAAUUCUACCAUAAUUAGAAAAUGUAAACAAAACAACUUGAAUCACAACGAAGUCACGCACAAAGUUUGAACAUCUACACGGAGAAACUGAAAAACUCAAAAUUAGGUACUUUUAAACUCAAUUUUGAGUUCUUUUUCAUCUCCCUUUUCAUGCGCCCUUUCUGUUGUUGUCAGAGAGUGAAGAGAGAAACAGCCCAACUUUUGCAGUUCCGUGCGUCAAGCCAACACUGAGUUUCUAGCACAGUACUCAAAUUUGAGUGAAUACAACCUAGUCAAAAUUUAGGUUGGGUGGAAAAAACUUAAAAUUGGGUAUUUCUUUCACAUGAAAGCAAGCGGAAACAACCCAACAAAAACAUCGAUUCCAUCAACUCAAAAUGAAUUAAAUGCUUUGGCUGUUUUCCUACUCUCCGCAUCGACCAAUGUGGCGCUAGCUUCUAUGCGCGAAAAAUCGCUAAAAGUAAAUCGCAAAAAUAUUGUAUGGCGAAUAGCAUCUAAAGGCGUAUUUCUCGAAGUGGAACACAUUAAUCGAAAAAAUAUUUGGUAGCAGUUGUGCACAAUGAUGACCGGUUGGGUGCCUCCCAAAUAUUUUUUCGAUAAAAGCUUUUCAUUUCGAGAAAUUCGAGUUUAGAUGCUUUUCGCCAUACAAAAUAAAAUGAUUUUACUCCUGCUGACCAGCACUGAACGCACUCCCUGCGGGUAAUCUAUUGGCUUGACGCACGCAACCCCGAAGUUGGGUGGAAAGAACUCAUUUUUGGGUAGUUUCGUCUCUCCGUGUAGCUUUGUAGCAAGUGUUGGCAGCUGUUGUAAACAAAACAAACAGCGUUGCCGAAUCGACGUAUGUAACUUCCGCUCAUCUCUAUGUAGAGGAUUUCUAAUGUUACCAUGCGCCUCCUAUUUACCGAUUCUCUCAUUCUCUCGAUUUGUCUCUGUGAAACCAAUUAUGUAGCUCAGAAUGAAUUAACUACAUCGGCUGUUUUCCUACUCUCCGCAUCGACCAAUGUGGCGCUAGCUUCUAUGCGCGAAAAAUCGCUAAAAGUAAAUCGCAAAAAUAUUGUAUGGCGAAUACCAUCUAAAGGCAAAUUCUUCAAAGUGGAACACAUUAUUCGAAAAAAUAUUUGGUAGCGGUUGUGCACAAUGGUGACCACUAUUAAGCCUACCAAAUAUUUUUUCGGGAAAAGCUUUGUAUUUCAAGUAAUUCAAGUUUAGAUGCAUUUCGCCAUACAAAAUUAAAUUGAUUUACUCCUGCUGAUCAACUGUGGCUGCGCGCAAAGCGGGUAGUCCAUUAAGGCUCAAUAGAUUUCUUAGACUUGAAUAAAAUACAUUCGUAUCGCAACCACGGAGUUGAACACUUCGGAUGACCUCCUCGAUAACAUAGUUAGUACAUGGCGACCGUGACAGGCUCAGUCCGCGAACGUUGGAAACUUCAGUUAAAGUUUGAAAAAGUGUUUGAGUGAUUUCAAGACGAAGGAAGAACCGUAAAUAUCGCCCGAGUUCUAUUAUGAAGUGAAAGUGUAUUGAAACAUGGGGAAUCAAAAAUCCUCUCCAAAAGUUUCCCAAGAAGGAGAUCAUGAUCUAACGAUCAUUAAUACACAAGAAGUGCAUACAGAUUUCUUUCUUAGCCAUGAGCUAAAGCUGAACAUUAUUAUUGGACUCCUGAUUCUUCAAUUAGUGCUAGCCCUCUACAAAAUGCUAGUUAAACGUGAGAAGAGGCGUGCCACAAGAAUCGCGGCGAAAUCACUCACCAACCUAAACGAAGUGAGCACGCAAUAGACACUCAAGUGAGCACGAAGAAAUUUAAGUUCCUGUUGGAGAAAAAGUGAUCGGUUCAAAACAAAAAACCAGAUUUGAUACAAGAUCCAGCGACCCCAGUGACCCGAGAGACCACUGAAACAACGAGACAGCGAUCAACGACACAGUGCUACGUGGUGCACUGUACCAGACCGAAACCCGAGAUGCAGGUGUGAAGCAGGCAAUACGGAGUCGAUGACGUGUGCAACGGUACGAGCAGCACUGGAAGACCGGAGCAAGUGGUCCCCAAACGAUCAUCUGGACAUCUUAAAGAUAAGGUAACAAGAAGUUAUAAAAAACCCUUUAUAAUUUGUAAAUGGAUUUUGAUUCACUAGAUUAUAAAAUUCAGAAAAUAAUUAAGGAGUUAUCGAAAAUACUAAAUAAUUUAAAGAAAGCUCCAUUUAGAAAUUAUAAAAGGGCUACACUUUCACAAAAACUUUCCAAUGCUACAACGCUUUAUAAAUAUUUAGAGUUGAUACUAGUAAGUAGUGAAAAAUAUAUCCCUGAUAAUUUGCUUAACUUUUAUAUAAAAGGGUCUAAUUGCAAUCCACUGGGCAAUCACCCAUUUUCGACCUUAUUUAUACGGAAGGAGGUUUACAGUCAAAACUGACCAUCGACCUCUCGUAUAUCUAUUCACAAUGAAAAACCCUUCGUCAAGAUUGACUAGAAUAAGAGUUGAUUUGGAAGAAUUUGAUUUCAACAUUGAACACGUAGAAGGAGAGCUAAAUGUCGGCGCCGAUGCACUUUCACGUGUAAUUGUUGAUUCAGAUGAACUAAAAACUAUCUAUGUUUUACCGAUACAGACAAGGUCUAUGACAAGAAGUAAACCAAGCAAUGUCACUCAAAUCGGUAGCCCAAAGACUGAUCCCAAAUUGAUAACCGAAAUUGAUGAGAUACAGACAACGGUGUCAAUAAAAAUAUAUCAUAAAAAAUUGAAAAAUAAUCUUGCUCAAGCGCAAUUUUCUGCAAUGAUGUGCACAUCUACUAAAGACUAAAGAAAUUAUUGACACAAUUAACGAAAUGGCCAAGUACUUGAAUAUUAAAAAGCUAGCAAUGGACUACCCGCUUUACGCGCAGCCACAGUUGAUCAGCAGGAGUAAAUCAAUUAAAUUUUGUAUGGCGAAAUGCAUCUAAACUCGAAUUACUUAAAAAAUAGAAACCUUUGCCGAAAAAAAUAUUUGGUAGCCUUAAUAGUGGUCACCAUUGUGCACAACCACUACCAAAUACUUUUUCGAAUAAUGUGUUCCACUUUGAGAAAUUUGCCUUUAGAUUGUAUUCGCCAUACAAUAUUUUUGCGAUUUACUUUUAGCGAUUUUUCGCGCAUAGAAGCUAGCGCCACAUUGGUCGAUGCGGAGAGUAUGAAAACAGCCGAUGUAGUUAAUUCAUUGCAAGGAACAGUAUUAUUUUUUCAAAGAUAAAUACUGAAGAGUUUAAAUCAUUAUACAACCAAUCUCACAACGAAGUCGACGUAAUUAUCUAUACACCAGCGAUAAUGGACUACCCGCUUGGCGCACGCUCACAGUUGAUCAGCAGAAGUAAAUCCAUUUAAUUUUGUAUGGUGAAAAGCAUCUAAACUUGAAUUACUUGAAAUAGCAUGCUUUUCCUAAAAAAAUAAUUGGUAGGCUUAAUAGUGGUCACCAUUGUGCACAACCACUACCAAAUAUUUUUUCGAAUAAUGUAUUCCACUUCGAUAAAUUUGCCUUUAGAUGCUAUUCGCCAUACAAUUUUUUGCGAUUUACUUUUAGCGAUUUUUCGCGCAUAGAAGCUAGCGCCACAUUGGUAGAUGCGGAGAGUAGGAAAACAGCCGAUGUAGGUAAUUCAUUGUUUCAAACCAAAAUGACAUCAAUCAAAUAAUCCUCGAGAACCAUACAUCCCCACUUGGAGGACAUGUUGGUACUACAAGAUUAUUGAAUAAAAUACGUAAAAACAUACUACUGGAAAAAUAUGCGAAAAUCUAUCAACCAGUUCGUUAAGAACUGCAUUGAUUGCAAAAGAAACAAACACACGGUACAUACGAAAGAAAAAUUUAUUGAAACCACUAUACCCACGAAAGCAUUUAAUGUUGUUUCCAUUGAUACAAUAGGCCCCAUGACCAAAACUAAAAAAGGAAAUAGAUAUGCAUUAAGACUACAAUGUGAUCUCACGAAGUAUGUUAUUGCUAUACCUAUACCUGAUAAGCAAGCUCAAACAUUAGCGAAAGCAUUUGUUGAGCACUUUAUACUCAUAUACGGAUGUCCAAUUUUAAUUAAGACCGAUUUAGGAACAGAAUAUAAAAAUGAACUGUUCAAUAAUAUAUGUCAACUACUGUCAAUUAACCACAAUUUUUCUACAGCUUACCACCCCCAAACAGUUGGCGCCCUUGAACGCAAUCAUCGAUGCUUUAAUGAAUAUCUUCGACAAUUCAUUAACGAGCAACUCGAUGAUUGGGAUUCUUGGCUUCAAUUCUAUACUUUCUACUACUCCCAACACUGAGCAUACAUUCACGCCAUAUGAAUUAGUUUUUGGUAAUUUGGUAAAUUAUCCUCGAAGUCUAGUGAACCCCUCAAAAAUUGAUCCAGUUUAUAACUAUGAUAAUUAUUAUACAGAACUGAAAUUUAAAUUGCAAUGUGUAGGAAAUAAGGCAAAAGAACUAUUAGUCAAAUCUAAAUAUAGGAGAAUAGCUUAACAAGCAGAAAUUGCAAACCCCAUAUUAAAUUAGGAGAAAAAAUACUUUUAAAAACAGAAAACAAUAGAAAAUUAGACAAGGUUUAUAAUGGACCUUUUGAAGUGAUAGCAAUAAGCCACCCGAAUGUAAAAAUCAAAAAUUGUGAAACAAACGAACAAAAAACAGUGCAUAAAAAUAGAAUUGUCAAACUUUAACAAACAAACUACGUUACACAAAAUUGCAUUGUAAUUUUUAAAACAUAGAAGGUGAUUGGUAACAUUAACUUCAAAAUUCAAAUGAUUUCUCUACGAUCAUCAUUUUCCUUAAAGGGGGGAGAUGUAGUGCAUAAAUUAGUUGAGUUGCAUAUUGCCAACAGAUGUGGCACAGCAACAAUAAUUCCCAUCGUCAAGGUCUUGCAACGUGGACAAGAACACCCAAGUGCAACAGCCCAUGUUGCAACCGCCAACGAUGCUCUUUCCCCAAGCUCAAUAUUCCCAGGCUAAAUGAUUCUCGAAUUUCACUUAUCGACGGGUUGUCAACUGCAAUAUAAUUUUAACGCAUAUCGAUGUUACCAUGCGCCUCCUAUUUACCGAUUCUCUCAUUCUCUCGAUUUGUCUCUGUGAAACCAAUGGACUACCCGCUUUGCGCGCAGCCACAGUUGAUCAGCAGGAGUAAAUCAAUUUAAUUUUGUAUGGCGAAAUGAAUCUAAACUUGAAUUACUUGAAAUACAAAGCUUUUCCCGAAAAAAUAUUUGGUAGGCUUAAUAGUGGUCACUAUUGUGCACAACCACUACCAAAUAUUUUUUCGAAUAAUGUGUUCCACUUUGAAGAAUUUGCCUUUAGAUGGUAUUCGCCAUACAAUAUUUUUGCGAUUUACUUUUAGCGAUUUUUCGCGCAUAGAAGCUAGCGCCACAUUGGUCGAUGCGGAGAGUAGGAAAACAGGCGAUGUAGUUAAUUCAUUAUGUAGCUCAGAAUUAAGGCUCAAUAGAUUUCUUAGACUUGAAUAAAAUACAUUCGUAUCGCAACCACGGAGUUGAACGCUUCGGAUGACCUCCCCGAUAACAUAGUUAGUACACACUAUGCCCAGGAAGUCGAGAAAAUUUUCCCGACCGGAACGGGAAUCGAACCCUCCGUCUCCGGAUUGGCGAUCCACAGACAAACAGACGUAACACUCUGAUAAUGAAUUAACAACAUCGGCUGUUUUCCUAUUCUCCGCAUCGACCAAGGUGGCGCUAGCUUCUAUGCGCGAAAAAUCUCUAAAAGUAAAUCGCAAAAAUAUUGUGUGGCGAAUACCAUCUAAAGGCAAAUUCUUUAAAGUAGAACACAUUAUUCGAAAAAAUAUUUGGUAGUGGUUGGGCACAAUGGUGACCAUUAUUAAGCCUACCAAAUAUUUUUUCGGAAAAAGCUUUGUAUUUCAAGUAAUUCAAGUUUAGAUGCAUUUCGCCAUACAAAAUUUAAUUGAUUUACUCCUGCUGAUCAACUGUGGCUGCGCGCAAAGCGGGUAGUCCAUUCCCAUCGUACACCGUUUUAACGGUCUAUUUAAAAAAAAAAAAUAGUUGGCUAACUGACCACCCGUGGCGCUCACAUCUUUUUUGUUCGAGUUUGACGUUUGCCCACUACCGCCACCUAGUUGAUGGUUGGCCAAACUCAGUCCUUUUAGUAUUGCGCGAAUAUGUUUCCGUGACUAUGAUUUGAAUCGAAAAAUGUUCGAGGUGUUACGUCUGUUUGUCUGUGGGCGAUCCAUAGCCUUAACCACUAGGCUAACUGGAGACGCGCGGAUUGCACAAUGAAUUAACUACAUCGGCUGUUUUCCUACUCUCCGCAUCGACCAAUGUGGCGCUAGCUUCUAUGCGCGAAAAAUCGCUAAAAGUAAAUCGCAAAAAUAUUGUAUGGCGAAUAGCAUCUAAAGGCAAAUUUAUCGAAGUGGAAUACAUUAUUCGAAAAAAUAUUUGGUAGUGGUUGUGCACAAUGGUGGCUACUAUUAAACCUACCAAAUAUUUUUUCAGUAAAAGCUAUCUAUUUCAAGUAAUUUAAGUUUAGAUACUUUUCACCAUACAAAAUAAAAUUCAUUUACUCCUGCUGAUCAACUGUGGGUGUGCGCCAAGCGGGUAGUCCAUUGGGCAGGUGGUUACUUUCAAUGAAUUAAAAGCUAUGGCUGUUUUCCUACUCUUCGCAUUGACCGAUGUGGCGCUAGCUUCUAUGCGCGAAAAAUCGCUAAAAGUAAAUCGCAAAAAUAUUGUAUGGCGAAUAGCAUCUAAAGGCGUAUUUCUCGAAGUGGAACACAUUAUGUAUUCGAAAAAAUAUUUGGUAGCGGUUGUGCACAAUGAUGACCGGUUUGGUGCCUACCAAAUUAUUUCGAGAAAUUCGAGUUUAUAUGCUUUUCGCCAUACAAAAUAAAAAGGAUUUACUCCUGCUGAUCAACUGUGGGCGCGCGCCAAGCUGGUAGUCCAUUCUCCCACAGGUAUCGAAGACGGCGUGGUUUAAGGGGAUGGACAUGGGUCGAGAUUUUAUCAAGAUAAUGUGUCGACUUUUAUGUCCAAUCACUACUCUCUGGGCUUGCACUUCUAUCGAAUAGGGCUCACAGAUAACAAUCGCUGUAGCUGUGGUGCUGGAUAUCAAGACAUCAACCAUGUUGUGUGGGAAUGUCCCGAAUACGGUAUUGCCAGAUCCGAUUUAUGUGCAUCCCUCAGGGCCCGAGGGAAACCAGAAAAGGAAGACAUUAGAGAUGUGUUGGGUAAACUUGAUCUUAUGUACCUGAAGCUUGUGUACGACUUCUUGAAACAAGCUGAAGUCUGCGUUUGAUACCCCGUCUUGUUGUUCCACUUGUCCACCUCGUGUCCCUUCGAACCCCGUUUGUUUGUAUCGUUACAGGUUGUUUGUCCACUCUACGUUUGACCAGCAGCAACUACGUCACGCCAUGCUGCUGAGAAUCAACGAAAAGCCCCAGAUUCCCAUCCCUUCCUCAAACUUUAUUGUUCCCUCUAACCUCGGCCAAACCGCGAGUUUUACGGUUCCCCUAAGCUAACCUAGUUGAUAAGUCACAAAUACGAAAUUGUAAAAAAAAGUAUCAAAAUGAAUUCGGCUCCGUUAUGCCUGAUGGCGCAUGAGCCUUAAACAAACGAUUAAGUAAAACAAAAUAAGCCUAACAAAUAUUUUUUUAGUAAAAGCAUUCUAUUUCAAGUAAUUCAAGUUUAGAUGCUUUUCACCAUACAAAAUAAGUGUAGAAUUAGCUAUAAGUUAAAAUACACAUUAUUAAAAACAAAAAAAAAACCAUACAAAAUAAAAUGGAUUUAUUCCUGCUGAUCAACUGUGGGUGUGCGCCAAGCGGAGUCCAUUAGGUGCCGGCCAGAGUGGACGCGUCACGCGGCGCGACGCGGAAAUUUGCACGCAGAGGAAUAACAAUCAAUAAUAAGGAGCUGUCAAAUCGUAUGGGAAAACCGCGUCGCGUGACGCGUCCACUCUGGCCGUACCCUUACUAAACGUGUUUUAUUCAGCGAAUACGGUUUCACAUCUAUUCGGUUAGGUUUUCUAUGAGCCAUUUUACGAAGUGACAACAAUGUUGAUGAUGAUAUUGACUUUCGCGGGUUACUGGCCGCUACCUUCUGUCAAAAUUCAUUCGUAAAAUCGGCUCGUAAAACGGACUAUUCUCAAAUGACUAAACGUCAACAAGGGAUCAAAGUAUGAGCAUUGAAGAUAGGGUUAACAAAGAGGAAUAAAGGGUAAUUAAAUAAUAAUUAUACUAAUUAUAGAUGAGGAAUGCAUUGCCCAUUCGACAGGUUUGACAUGACCAAAAAUGAGUACGUAGUUUAUGGGCAGCGCCCUUUGGCUUAAAAGUUGAACCCAUCCCGAUAUGUUUCAGAUUUCGGAUAAAAUAAAUACUACCAAAUGUUUGAUACCUGGAAAUAAAUUUUAUUAAUAAUUUUAUCUCACUUCAAUUUUUGCUUCAUUUUUUUUUAAUCGUUAUAAAUCUGGGAAUUGCACUUUUUGGCAAAAUUCAAUAAGUUAAUAAUUUAACAAAAUUAUUUACAAAAUAUACAUUUCCAUGGGAAGCAGAUCGUCAUGCGUUUGACUGCAUUACUGUACAAAAUAGUGAUGAAUAAAAUUUACAAGUUAUAUAUUUUAAUUUAUUUUUGUCGACAUUGAACAGCUUCUACAUAAAAGCAAAUGUUUAUGCUGAGGCUUUUGCUUUGACUAGACAAACAUUUUUAUUUUGCAUUUACGAACGUCAUCUCUGCGGCAGCACGUUUGAUCGCUUCUGACAUUUACACACAGGACUACUCUCUAAAAUAAAAACUCUCAUUUUUGGUUAACACCCAUGCCGCACAAUGACUGUGUUGGAAACACACAUUUUAUAAAAUUGCUCGUACGCUCACAUUUUUGCAAAAUAUCAAUGUUUUUCGGUAUUUGAAGGUGUUUUAUAAACCCAGAGAGGUUGCCAUUAAAUGCGAAAUUUUCGCAAUGAAUUAACUACAUCGGCUGUUUUCCUACUCUCCGCAUCGACCAAUGUGGCGCUAGCUUCUAUGCGCGAAAAAUCGCUAAAAGUAAAUCGCAAAAAUAUUGUAUGGCGAAUAGCAUUUAAAGGCAAAUUUAUCGAAGUGGAAUACAUUAUUCGAAAAAAUAUUUGGUAGUGGUUGUGCACAAUGGUGACUACUAUUAAGCCUACCAAAUAUUUUUUCAGUAAAAGCUUUGUAUUUCAAGUAAUUCAAGUUUAGAUGCUUUUCACCAUACAAAAUAAAAUGGAUUUACUCCUGCUGAUCAACUGUAGGUGUGCGCCAAGCGGGUAGUCCAUUGUUGCAAAAUACAUGCUCAUGUGAGCGUACGAGCAAUUUCAAAAAGUGUGUGUUUCCAACACAGCCAUUGUGCGGCAUGGAUGUUUACUAAAAAUGUGCAUGCCGAACACAUUUUUGAGCGUAGCCGUUUUUGCGUGUAUUAAUACUUCUUUUAAAUAUUAUUCACUGCAACAUCUCGCGGGUGGUAUGGUCCACUGCACGAAUUUAUACUGGCCUGCUUACUCCCACGAGAAAUUUAACGUUUGAGCCGUGCCGACACCGCUCAAACGUCAAAUUUCGUGUGAGAGUAAGCGGGCCAGUAUCAAGGUUGCAACCAUUCAUUUGCAAAGAUUUACAUUCAUUUGCUAUGGACUACCCGCUUUGCGCGCAGCCACAGUUGAUCAGCAGGAGUAAAUCAAUUAAAUUUUGUAUGGCGAAAUGCAUCUAAACUUGAAUUACUUGAAAUACAAAGCUUUUCCCGAAAAAAUAUUUGGUAGGCUUAAUAGUGGUCAUCAUUGUGCACAACCACUACCAAAUAUUUUUUCGAAUAAUGUGUUCCACUUUGAAGAAUUUGCCUUUAGAUGGUAUUCGUCAUACGAUAUUUUUGCGAUUUACUUUUAGCGAUUUUUCGCGCAUAGAAGCCAGCGCCACAUUGGUCGAUGCGGAGAGUAGGAAAACAGCCGAUGCAGGUAAUUAAUUAUCUCAGUUCAGAAGCAUGCUAUCGAAAAAUAAUGUAUGGAUGAAUUUAACCUUGUAGUUUUAUCUAAAAGUUUGUCGAAUAACAUUGGGGUCGCACACGCAUUCCAAAGUCGUGAGCGAGCUUUGAAGGCAACUUUCCACAGCGUGAAUGAAAUUUACAUUCACCGCGUGGAGAGUUGCCUUCACAGCUCACUCACGACUUUGGUAUACGUUUGCGAACCCAAUGUUAUUCGGCAAACUAUCAGAUAAAACUACAAGGUGAAAUUCACUUAUACAUUAGGGGUACUCACGAAACAGAUUAAAUUGCUGCGUAAGCCAUGAUUUUCCGCUUAUUUGAAAUGUUUCACGAUUUUGCGAAUGAAAUAAUCAAAGAUUGCCUUGGUGAUCGCGACGUUUAAUCAGUUUAAUCAGUUUACGCUGUUUAGUGAAUCCCCCUAUUGUUUUUCGAUAGCAUGCUUCUGAACUGAGAUAAUAGCAAAUGAAUGUAAAUCUUUGCAAAUGAAUGAUCGCAACCUUGGCCAGUAUAUAUUCGUGCAGUUAUUCAUAGGGGAUUGGAACCCAUCUCCGAUAUAUUCACAUAAAAAUGACGUCCUUUUCAGGAAGGGAAGUAGAAGUGAACCGAAAUAAACAACCCCAUUAAAUAUCUUUUCUACUUUUCCCUCGACUUAAACGGGAAAUAAAUCGGUAUAAUCGGCUGAUUACGUCGCCAAUGAAUUAACUACAUCGGCUAUUUUCCUACUCUCCGCAUCGACCAAAGUGGCGCUAGCUUCUAUGCGCGAAAAAUCGCUAAAAGUAAAUCGCAAAAAUAUUGUAUGGCGAAUAGCAUCUAAAGGCAAAUUUAUCGAAGUGGAAUACAUUAUUCGAAAAAAUAUUUGGUAGUGGUUGUGCACAAAGGUGACCACUAUUAAGCCUGUCAAAUAUUUUUCAGUAAAAGCUUUCUAUUUCAAGUAACUCAAGUUUAGAUGCUUUUCAUCAUACAAAAUAAAAUGGAUUUACUCCUGCUGAUCAACUGUAUGUGUGCGCCAAGCGGGUAGUCCAUUAUUUGGUCGAUUGUUGCACAAAGGCUUAAGCUUUUAGUACACAGGGUCAAAUAUUUGUCCAAAAGAAACCAAUGCUUAAACAUCUUAUUUGACUCGAUUGAAUUUUCAUUAUGGUAAAUGUACCAAUAGUGGUGCAAUUAGUAGAUCCUUGUAGGAAAAUAAUUGAAUAAAAUUGAUAAUACCACAAAAUAAAAAGUCUAAAAACGUUAAUCGGUAGUUUUUCACUUAAAUUGGCUAUGAAAAAUGUAAAAAAACAUCGUUUAUUUAAGUUUUUGCU